AUUGAACGCUGGCGGCAUGCCUUACACAUGCAAGUCGAACGGUAACAGGUCUUCGGAUGCUGACGAGUGGCGAACGGGUGAGUAAUACAUCGGAACGUGCCCGAUCGUGGGGGAUAACUACUCGAAAGAGUAGCUAAUACCGCAUACGAUCUACGAAUGAAAGCGGGGGAUCUUCGGACCUCAUGCGGACGGAUCGGCCGAGGGCCGAUUUGGUCUUUGGUGGGAUAAAAGCUUACCACGCCGACGAUCGGGAGCAGGUCUGAGAGGACGGCCAGCCACACUGGGACUGAGACAGGGGACAGACUCCUACGGGAGGCAGCAGUGGGGAAUUUUGGACAAUGGGCGAAAGCUUGAUCCAGCAAUGCCGCGUGCAGGAUGAAGGCCUUCGGGUUGUAAACUGCUUUUGUACGGAACGAAAAGACUCCUUCUAAUACAUGGGGUCCAUGACGGUACCGUAAGAAUAAGCACCGGCUAACUACGUGCCAGCAGCCGCUGUAA
rnacentral:rRNA from 1 species